AUUGAACGCUGGCGGCAUGCCUUACACAUGCAAGUCGAACGAGGGUAGCAAUACCUUGGUGGCGAACGGGUGAGUAAUAUAUCGGAACGUACCCUAGAGUGGGGGACAACCAGUCGAAAGACUGGCUAAUACCGCAUACGAUCUCUGGAUGAAAGUGGGGGACCGCAAGGCCUCACGCUCCUGGAGCGGCCGAUAUCUGAUUAGCUAGUUGGUAGGGUAAAAGCCUACCAAGGCAUCGAUCAGUAGCUGGUCUGAGAGGACAAUCAGCCACACUGGGACUGAGACACGGCCCAGACUCCUACGGGAGGCAGCAGUGGGGAAUUUUGGACAAUGGGGGAAACCCUGAUCCAGCAAUGCCGCGUGAGUGAAGAAGGCCUUCGGGUUGUAAAGCUCUUUUGUCAGGGAAGAAAAGGCUAUGGCUAAUAUCCAUGGCUGAUGACGGUACCUGAAGAAUAAGCACCGGCUAACUACGUGCCAGCCGCCGCGGUAA
rnacentral:rRNA from 1 species